rnacentral:rRNA from 1 species
GACGAACGCUGGCGGCGUGCUUAACACAUGCAAGUCAAACGGAAAGGCCCUGCUUUUGUGGGGUGCUCGAGUGGCGAACGGGUGAGUAACACGUGAGUAACCUGCCCUUGACUUUGGGAUAACUUCAGGAAACUGGGGCUAAUACCGGAUAGGAGCUCCUGCUGCAUGGUGGGGGUUGGAAAGUUUCGGCGGUUGGGGAUGGACUCGCGGCUUAUCAGCUUGUUGGUGGGGUAGUGGCUUACCAAGGCUUUGACGGGUAGCCGGCCUGGGAGGGUGACCGGCCACAUUGGGACUGAGAUACGGCCCAGACUCCUACGGGAGGCAGCAGGGGGGAAUAUUGCACAAUGGGCGGAAGCCUGAUGCAGCAACGCCGCGUGCGGGAUGACGGCCUUCGGGUUGUAAACCGCUUUCGCCUGUGACGAAGCGUGAGUGACGGUAAUGGGUAAAGAAGCACCGGCUAACUACGUG